rnacentral:rRNA from 1 species
AUUGAACGCUGGCGGCAGGCCUAACACAUGCAAGUCGAGCGGAUGAAGGGAGCUUGCUCCUGGAUUCAGCGGCGGACGGGUGAGUAAUGCCUAGGAAUCUGCCUGGUAGUGGGGGAUAACGUCCGGAAACGGGCGCUAAUACCGCAUACGUCCUGAGGGAGAAAGUGGGGGAUCUUCGGACCUCACGCUAUCAGAUGAGCCUAGGUCGGAUUGGCUAGUUGGUGGGGUAAAGGCCUACCAAGGCGACGAUCCGUAACUGGUCUGAGAGGAUGAUCAGUCACACUGGAACGGAGACACGGUCCAGACUCCUACGGGAGGCAGCAGUGGGGAAUAUUGGACAAUGGGCGAAAGCCUGAUCCAGCCAUGCCGCGUGUGUGAAGAAGGUCUUCGGAUUGUAAAGCACUUUAAGUUGGGAGGAAGGGCAGUAAGUUAAUACCUUGCUGUUUUGACGUUACCAACAGAAUAAGCACCGGCUAACUUCGUG